rnacentral:tRNA from 1 species
GGGUUAGUAGCUCAAUUUGGACAGAGCACGUGUCUACGGAACACGAGGUUGGGGGUUCGAGUCCCUCCUAGCUCA